rnacentral:rRNA from 1 species
AAUCAACGCUGGCGGCGUGCCUAACACAUGCAAGUCGCACGAGAAAGGGGCUUCGGCCCUGAGUACAGUGGCGCACGGGUGAGUAACACGUGAAUCAUCUACCUCCGAGUGGGGAAUAACCUAGGGAAACCUGGGCUAAUACCGCAUAACACUUACGAGUCAAAGCAGCAAUGCGCUUGGAGAGGAGUUCGCGGCAGAUUAGCUAGUUGGUGGGGUAAUGGCCCACCAAGGCGAUGAUCUGUAUCCGGCCUGAGAGGGCGCACGGACACACUGGAACUGAAACACGGUCCAGACUCCUACGGGAGGCAGCAGUGGGGAAUUUUGCGCAAUGGGGAAACCCGUGACGCAGCAACGCCGCGUGGAGGAUGAAGUCCCUUGGGACGUAAACUCCUUUCGACUGGGAAGAUAAUGACGGUACCAGGAGAAGAAGCCCCGGCUAACUUCGUGCCAGCAGCCGC